rnacentral:rRNA from 1 species
CCCUUAGAUGUUCUGGGCCGCACACGCGCUACAUUGAAGGAGGCAGCGUGUACUCCUGGAUCGAAAGAUUUGGGUAACCCGCGAAUCUCCUUCGUGCUAGGGAUUGAGGUUUGCAAUUAUCCUUCAUGAACGAGGAAUUCCCAGUAAGUGCAAGUCAUAAGCUUGCGCUGACUACGUCCCUGCCCUUUGUACACACCGCCCGUCGCUACUACCGAUUGAAUGAUUUAGUGAGGACUUCGGACUGGGACCGAUGCGGCUUUCGGGCUGCGUCGGUAUUCUGGAAAGAUGUCCAAACUGUAUCAUUUAGAGGAAGUAAAAGUCGUAACA